GGGAUAACCGGGAGAAAUCCCGACUAAUACCGCGUAACGCCGCGGGGCUGCAUGGCCCGGCGGCCAAAGGAAGCGAUUCCGGCGGGGGAUGGGCAUGCGGCGCAUUAGCUAGUCGGCGGGGUAACGGCCCACCGAGGCGACGAUGCGUAGGGGUUCUGAGAGGAAGGUCCCCCACACUGGUACUGAGACACGGACCAGACUCCUACGGGAGGCAGCAGUGAGGAAUAUUGGUCAAUGGGCGGGAGCCUGAACCAGCCAAGUCGCGUGAGGGAAGACGGUCCUAUGGAUUGUAAACCUCUUUUGCCGGGGAGCAACGGGGUCCUUGCGAGGGCCCAAUGAGAGUACCCGGAGAAAAAGCAUCGGCUAACUCCGUGCCAGCAGCCGCGGUAAUACGGAGGAUGCGAGCGUUAUCCGGAUUUAUUGGGUUUAAAGGGUGCGUAGGCGGGCUGUUAAGUCAGCGGUCAAAUGUCGGGGCUCAACCCCGGCCUGCCGUUGAAACUGGCGGCCUCGAGUGGGCGAGAAGUAUGCGGAAUGCGUGGUGUAGCGGUGAAAUGCAUAGAUAUCACGCAGAACUCCGAUUGCGAAGGCAGCAUACCGGCGCCCUACUGACGCUGAGGCACGAAAGCGUGGGUAUCGAACAGGAUUAGAUACCCUGGUAGUCCACGCAGUAAACGAUGAAUGCUAGCUGUCCGGUUCUACGGGACUGGGUGGCACAG
rnacentral:rRNA from 1 species